UUGUUUGAAAAGAGGGCGGGACUUUUGGCGCCAGUCGCCGUAGUAGCGCGCGGUAACCGAGAGCUGGGGAUAAGGAGCUCUGGGGCCUGUCGGAAGCUGCCAGUCUUGACGUUAAUGUUGGAGAAACAGCGAGCUGUUCGGCCAAAAUGGACACAAUAUAGCGAUGCCAUUUUUGGUCUUUGCUACCUCACAGACAUGCAGAGAUUAGAUGUCACAAGUCAACGAGUCUAACAUUCCUCCAAGCUAGGAGAGUCUACCUUUACUGUAAUGCAGGAAGUGGUGUGUUAAGCAGGUGACAUUCUGGGAACUGGAAGUGACAUCAUCUGGAGGUGGGACUUGGAAGAUUGGGACCAGAAGUGAUAUCAUAAGCCUGGAUGAAGCCUGAAAACAACGAGGAUUGAGUUAAGCACAUUUAUGUUAGGUAGAAUGCCAAAUGGAGAGGGGCUGGGUGGUCUUUUGGCCCCCUUUGAACCCCUGCAGAUUUUUUUUUGUCCUCCCAGCCAUAUGACCUCAUCACAGGACUCAUCUUUACAGACUUACAUUAUGAUGAUGUAUAUGAGGACGCUACCCACCUACUAAUUAUAUAGCUAUGUUUUAUAAAAUUGU